UGAGAAUUUAUUUUAUGUGUAAAUGCGUUUGUAUAUCAAAGUUUGAAAGUUGCGUAUGCUGUGCUCACAAUGAUUAUGCAAAAUCAAUUGUGAGCUCAAAAAUUAAAAAUAGCCAGUGAUCGAAAUAGCCAAACGAAACUAAGAACGACGUCGACAGCAAUGAUGAUAUUUGAAAUUUGCAUGUAGCGCAUGCUGUGUUGAUCCGCACAUUGUUGAUUGUUGGUGAAAAAAAUAAUGAAUAGUUUCAUCAAUUGAAAGUGUAAGGUUGCUGUGCGUGUAGGAGAAAAAAUAGAUUUGAUCGAAUGUAAACAUAAUUCGAAUCAGCGAAGAAAAAAAACUAAGAGAAGAUGGACCCGUACCCGGACACAUAACUAAUCGUUAGAGAAGAGUAAUAAUAAUGAAAUAAUAUAAAAAAAGAGAGUAACAGAGUAGAGAGAAUAGAGGCAUACACAGCUCUCUUUGCACACAAAACAUUCCCGACUCGUUCUUCGUUCUCUCACUUGACGGCAGCAAUCGCUGUGCACAUUUCAAAUUCGAUUUUUAAU